CGGGAGCUAUACAGGUGUUGCAUGGCUGUCGUCAGCUCGUGUCGUGAGAUGUUCGGUUAAGUCCGCUAACGAGCGCAACCCUCGUCGUAUGUUAUAUGUGUCAUACGAGACUGCCGGUAAAAGACCGGAGGAAGGUGAGGAUGAUGUCAAGUCAGCAUGACCUUUAUAUCCAGGGCUACACACACGCUACAAUGGUCUGUACAAUGGGUAGCCAAGCCGCGAGGCGGAGCCAAUCCUGAAAGCAGGCCUCAGUUCAGAUUGCAGUCUGCAACUCGACUGCAUGAAGCCGGAGUUGCUAGUAACCGCAGGUCAGCAAUACUGCGGUGAAUACGUUCCCGGGUCUU
rnacentral:rRNA from 1 species